ACGCACGCUGGCGGCGUGCUUAACACAUGCCAGUCGAACGGAAAGGCCCUGCUUUUGUGGGGUGCUCGAGUGGCGAACGGGUGAGUAACACGUGAGUAACCUGCCCUUGACUUUGGGAUAACUUCAGGAAACUGGGGCUAAUACCGGAUAGGAGCUCCUGCUGCAUGGUGGGGGUUGGAAAGUUUCGGCGGUUGGGGAUGGACUCGCGGCUUAUCAGCUUGUUGGUGGGGUAGUGGCUUACCAAGGCUUUGACGGGUAGCCGGCCUGAGAGGGUCACCGGCCACAUUGGGACUGAGAUACGGCCCAGACUCCUACGGGAGGCAGCAGUGGGGAAUAUUGCACAAUGGGCGGAAGCCUGAUGCAGCAACGCCGCGUGCGGGAUGACGGCCUUCGGGUUGUAAACCGCUUUCGCCUGUGACGAAGCGUGAGUGACGGUAAUGGGUAAAGAAGCACCGGCUAACUACGUG
rnacentral:rRNA from 1 species